rnacentral:rRNA from 1 species
GACGAACGCUGGCGGCGUGCUUAACACAUGCAAGUCGAACGAUGAACCCGGAGCUUGCUCCGGUGGAUUAGUGGCGAACGGGUGAGUAACACGUGAGUAACCUGCCCUUGACUCUGGGAUAACUGCGGGAAACUGUAGCUAAUACCGGAUACGACCCUCGGCGGCAUCUCCAGGGGGUGGCAAGCAUUUCGGUCAAGGAUGGACUCGCUGCCUAUCAGCUAGUUGGUGAGGUAACGGCGCACCAAGGCGACGACGGGUAGCCAGCCUGAGAGGGUGACCGGCCACACUGGGACUGAGACACGGCCCAGACUCCUACGGGAGGCAGCAGUGGGGAAUCUUGCGCAAUGCGCGAAAGCGUGACGCAGCAACACCGCGUGAGGGAAGACGGCCUUAGGGUUGUAAACCUCUUUCAGUUGGGACGAAGGUUCGACGGUGAAUAGCCGGCCGGACUGACGGUACCUUCAGAAGAAGCUCCGGCUAAC